AAAAAUAUUAUGAAUUGAAUAUACACAAUUGAUACAAGUAUCUUAUGAGAAUACAAAUUAGUUUAAACAAUUUUUUUAUUUUUUAUUUUGCUGAGUUACAAGAAUAGGAUAAAGUCCUAAUAACAACGAGAUUAACAUGACUCAAACCCAGACCAUACCUAGGGCGAUAAACACUUUAACUAUCAGGCAAACACACAAGUUAAACUAAUUUUUUAUUUUAAUUACAUACAUAAGUAGUGUUAUUAAUUAUAAGUUAUUUUAAAUACACACUUACCUUCUAAAUUUGUAAUUUUAUUCGUGGGACCACAUUAUUGGACGCAAGCUUACUAAUAACAUUCAGAAGGUAACUUUGGUGUAAGAGUAACCUCUAAUGGUGUAGCUUUAGGAACAAUUAUUCCGGGCCUUUCACUCAUGUCGACGCUUUUAUCCGAGACCGUUCCCCAUUCGAAUCCAUGAAGCAGUCGAGCCAAAGCUAAGUGUUGGAAAUGAAGGGCGAAAGUGAUACCAGGACAAAUCCUUCUACCAGCACCAAAUGGUAUAAGCUCAAAUUUUUGACCCCUCACAUCAAUGUUAGCAUGGUCACUGAGGAAUCUCUCAGGGAGGAAAUCUAAUGGCUUAUGCCAAAUUCCGGGGUCACGGUGUAGCUUCCACAGGUUAAGCAACAGUUGAGUGCCUGCCGGAAUGUGGAAACCGGCUACGGUGCAGUCAUCCAUAGCUUCUCUUGCUACCGAUACUGGCGUCGCUGGGUAUAACCGCAAUGUUUCCUUGAUAAUGGCUUGUAGGUAUACCAAGUUAGCUAUGUCUGAUUCUUCCACUUGUCGUUGCUUCCCGACAUGGAUGUCAAGUUCUUCUUGAGCCUUCUUUAGAACAUGGCGGUUAUUCAAUAGCAAGGAGAUCGCCCAUGAAAGUGUGGACACGUUUGUAUCGAUGCCACCCAAGGCAAGAGUCUACAAUCACCAUUUCCCAAUCAAAAAUAAUGCUAUAGCCUAUAAACUACAUGAUUCUACUUAACAAUAUAUAACAUACCAGGCAAUUAGCUUUAAUGGUAACAUCAGCCUCUUGAAUUGGUACAUUGUUUUCAUCCAUGAUAGACAACAUGGCAUCAAUGAAAUCUUGGUUCCCUUCGAUGCCUUUGUCGAGCCUAUAGAGCAUGGAACGUAACUUUGGUGUAAUAGUAACCUCUAAUGGUGUAGCUUUAGGAACAGUCAUUCCAGGACUUACACUCAUGUCAACGGCUUUAUCUGAGACCGUUCCCCAUUUGAAUCCGUGAAGCAGUCGAGCCAAAGUUAAGUGCUGGAAAUGAAGCGCGAAAGUGAUACCAGGACAAAUCCUUCUACCAGAACCAAAUGGUAUAAGCUCAAAAUUUUGACCCCUUACAGCUAUGUUAGCAUGGUCACUGAGGAAUCUCUCAGGGAGAAAAUCUAAGGGUUUAUGCCAAAUUCUGGGGUCACGCUGAAGCUUCCACAGGUUAACCAACAGUCGAGUACCUGCUGGAAUGUGGAAACCAGCUACUGUGCAGUCCUCCAUAGCUUCUCUGGGUACCAAUAUGGGUGUUGCUGGAUAUAACCGUAAUUUUUCUGUUGGUGCAACAAUAGAAUCAAGCAGACUCAGCAAGUAUCUUGUCGAGCAAGCCUCGAGACUUGCUGAGCAAACAAACAAUUUCGAGCUAAAGAAAGAAGAAAAUAAGCUAAGAAAAUUUGAGAGAAUAUUGAUGAACAAGACUGAUUUCAUUCAUAAAAAAACAAUGGCUUGAAGCCAGUACAUAAAUCAAGCAUAAAGCUUGUCAAAAUCAACAAGUAAUUACCUACCUCCACUAAUUACAUAGAAACUUGAAAUUUUAGCUUGUAAACUUAUACAAAACUGUGUUUACAGCUCAUACAUAAGCUAAUUACAUCAAUCAAAAAGCUAACUUAGUUAGAAAUGAACUAACACUCAUUUCAUCAACUAAAUAUAACAAAAUGAACAAAAUGAGCUUGCAUCAGCAGCCCUUGCAUCUGUUCCAGCUUUGCUUGGUCUUCAUGGCCUGCUUGGUAUCGAGUGUUGGCUUCAUGCUGACCAAGUUCAACACUCCUCCUUGGUUAGCAUGGUGCAAACACAUAAUUUUCUUCUUAAAUACUCGAACCUUGUGACAUUAAGGGCUUUAGUCAAAAUGUCUGCAAGCUGGUCCUCUGAAUUGCAGUGAAUUAGCUUCACUUCCUGAGCUUGCUCCAUUUCUCGAAUAACAUAUAGCUUAAUGCUAAAAUUCUUUGUUCUUCCAUGGAACACUGGAUUUUUGGCAAUUGCAACAGCAGAUUGAUUAUCACAGAAGAUCUCUGUUGCUUCCCUUUGAUCCACAUUCAAAUCAGCCAAGAUUUUCCUAAGCCAAAUGGCUUGGUUGACAGCACUUGCUGCUGCCACAUACUCUGCUUCAGCAGUAGAUUGUGCCACCAGACUUUGCUUUUUUGAGCUCCAGUAGAACAUGGCUGAACCAAGGUUGAAAGCAUACCCUGAGGUGCUUUUCAUGUCAUCUAUCGAUCCAGCCCAGUCACUAUCAGUGUAUCCAACUAGAUUUAGAUUUCCUUUCCUGCUGUACCUUAAGCCAUAGUCCAAAGUGCCUUUGACAUAUCUGAGCACUCUCUUGGCAGCCUGGAAAUGCUUCUCAUUGCAACAAUGCAAGAACCUUGAGAGCAAUCCUAUAGCAUACAUUAUGUCUGGUCUAGUGGCAGUCAAGUAUAGCAAACAACCAACUAGACUCCUGUAGGUAGUUUCACAUACCUUCUCAAAAUCUCCUUGGCUCGAUAGUUUUUCUCCAACAGCAAUAGGUGUUUUAGUUGGUUUGCUGUUUUGCAUGGAGAACUUGGUCAGAAUCUUUGUGGCAAAGCUCUUCUGACUUAAAAAUAUCCCAUUCUGUGCUUGAGUCACCUCCAUUCCAAGAAAAUAGGACAUCUCCCCAAGAUCAGACAUUUCAAACACUUCCUGCAUCUUGGUCUUGAAAUUAACCAGCACUGCUCGAUCUCCUCCUGUCACCAGCAGGUCAUCAACAUAUAGGGACACAAUGAGUUGUGUUUGUGUCCCUUGCUUCUUGACAUACAGUGUUGGCUCACUCUUGCUUCGAUCGAAUCCCAGAUCAGUCAAGUAGCCAUCGAUUCUGCUGUACCAGGCCCUUGGAGCCUGUUUUAAGCCAUAUAGGGCCUUCUUCAGUUUGUAGACCAUAUGCUCUCUCCCAGCUAUUUCAAACCCUUGUGGUUGUUCAACAUAGAUGUCUUCAUCUAAAAAACCAUUCAGAAAGGCUGAUUUCACAUCGAGUUGAUGAAUUUUCCAUUCGAGCUGUGCUGCUAAGGCAAUCAGCAGUCUGAUGGUGUCGAGCCUGGCCACUGGUGCAAAGGUCUCCAGGUAGUCCAGGCCAUACCUCUGACUGAACCCCUUGACAACCAACAUUGCUUUCAGUUUGUUCAAGGUUCCAUCAGCAUUCUGCUUGGCUUUGUACACCCAUUUCACCCCAAUCACCUUCCUUUUGACUGGCCUUUCAACCAAUUCCCAGGUCUGGUUCUUCUCAAUCAUGCUGAUCUCCUCAGCCAUUGCCUGCUUCCACUCUUGCUUAGCUUCAGCCUCUUCAAAGUUACUUGGUUCAGCUAUGGCUAUAUGAGCCCUUUCAUAAAUUUCAGUCAUCGAUCUUGUUCCUCUGACUGGUUCAUCAUCAAUGUCCAUUUCAGGAACAUUUUGUUCUGGCUCAGCUUGGUCUGCUGUAAGUUCCUCAGAAACUUCCUCAGGCUCAUGCAUUUCCCAGUUCCAACAUGACUUUUCAUCAAAUACCACAUCCCUGCUUACUGACACUUUGUUUGUUAAAGGAUCCAAGAUCCUAUAGCCCUUCUUAACAGUGCUGUAGCCCACCAGAAGACCAGGUCGAGCCCUUUCUGACAAUUUGUCCCUUUUAACAGCAGGUACAUGUGUGUAACAGAUACAUCCAAAGACCUUCAGAUGAGCCAGUGAUGGCUUGAAGCCAAACCAGGCCUCGAAUGGAGUCUUCUGAUCCAAAGCCUUGGUUAGAAGUCUAUUUUGAAUGUAUGUUGCAGUGUUAACUGCUUCUGCCCAUAGUGCUUUAGGCAGAUUCUUCUGAAUCAUUAAGCACCUGGCCAUAUCCAUCAAGCUCCUAUUCUUCCUUUCACUUACACCAUUCUGUUGAGGUGUAUAAGUGUUGGUAAGCUGGUGUUUGAUGCCUGCCUUAUCACAGAAGGCUUGGAACUGAGCUGAGGUGUACUCAGUCCCAUUAUCAGACCUUAUGGUCUUCAGCUUGCAGCCUGUUUCAGUCUCAGCAGCAGUUUUAAACUUCCAAAACACAGUGGCCACUUCUGAUUUCUGUUUUAAGAAGUAAAGCCAGCAAUAUCUAGAGAAAUCAUCAAUGAACAGUAUGAAAUACCUGUUUCCACUUAAUGACUCAGUCCUCAUAGGGCCACACACAUCAGUGUGCACCAGUUAGAGUUUUUCAGAGGCUCUCCAGGCUUGAUUCAAGGGAAAUGGCAAUCUGGCCUGCUUUCCUAGCUGACACACCUCACACACAUCAUCAUGGUCCACUGAGUUAAUGAAGUUUUCAGCCAGGUCUUCUCUGACCAUUCGGGCCAUCGAUCUGAAGUUGGCAUGUCCCAGCCUUUGAUGCCACAACUUAGAUUCAUCUGAUGUGGCUGUGUAGGCAAUGUUUGACUUCUUUGUCCAGUCAACCACAAAGCUCUUAUCAGCCAUAGGGAUUGCCAUUAGUUUGGAUCCACUUGGAUCACUGAUUUGGCACUGCUUGUCCUUGAACACCACAGAGUAACCUUUCUCCAGCAAUUGAGCUAUGCUGAGUAGGUUUCUGUCAAUUUCAGGCACCAGGAGCACAUUUGAGAUCAUUUUGGUACCUGUGAGAGUGCAUAUCAGCACAUCACCUUUGCCUUCAGCUUGAAUAAAGUUCUCAUUACCAAUUUUGACUUUGGUUCUACAGCUUCUGUCUAAAGACUUGAAGAUUUCAGCAUCAGGUGUCAUGUGAUUGGUGCAUCCACUGUCUAGGAGCCAACCAGAUGAGAACCUUUCCUGAGUAGCUGAGCAUGACACAGUAAAGACUUGCUCAUCUUGGUCACUGUCCUCCUUAGCUACUCGAGCCUCAGCUUUCAUCUGUUGAGGCAGGUUCUGUCUUGAUUUGGUCUUGCUCUUGCAAACUCUCUCAACAUGACCCUUCUUCUUACAAUGCUGACACACAGCAUCUGGAUUGAACCAGCAUUUUUCUUCUGGAUGACCAGCCCUUCUGCAGUGCUUGCAAGUCUGACCUUCUCUUCUUGCAGCAUCAUUCUUUGGCUUGUCUCUCCAGGCCUUCUUGCCUUUGUAGGCAGUAUUUGUCCUUGCCUGAAAGGCACCUUCUUGAUGCUCUUCCAGUCUGCUUGCUCUCCUCUGCUCUUGAGCAUAUAGAGCAUUGAUCAACUCAGUUAGGGAAAUGGUGGACAGAUCCCUUGAGUCCUCGAGAGAUGAGAUUUUUGCCUCAUACCUCUCAGGCAGAGUUGCUAUAACUUUCUCCACUAUCCUAGCUUCAUUAAAAUGCUCUCUAAGGAGCUUGAUGCUAUUAACCACAGCCAUAAUCCUGUCAGAAUAUUGCUUGACAGUUUCUUCUUCCUUCAUCUUCAAAUUCUCGAAAUCUCUCCUCAAAUUCAGUAACUGUUGCUGCCUUGUCCUCUCUGUCCCUUGAAACUCUUCUUGCAACUUAUCCCAGGCCUGUUUUGGUGAUUCACAGGCCAUAAUCCUUGUGAAAAUCACAUUUGACACUGAGUUCUGAAUGCAAGACAUGGCCUUGUGCCUCUUGGUCCUCUCAUCAGCAUGCUGCCUGAUCUGAGCCACUGUUGGAUUGCCUCUAAGUGGCUCUGGUUCAACAUCUGAGUUGACCACCUCCCACAGAUCAUAAGCCUGCAGGUAGGUCUUCAUUUUGACCACCCAUAUGUGAUAGCCUUCUCCAUUGAAGACUUGAGGUGCAGCUGGUGAAAAGCUUGAUGAAGCCAUGGAUUUGUAUAACAGAUCCCUUAAGAAAUAAGCUCUAGAUACCAAUUGUUGGUGCAACAAUAGAAUCAAGCAGACUCAGCAAGUAUCUUGUCGAGCAAGCCUCGAGACUUACUGAGCAAACAAACAAUUUCGAGCUAAAGAAAGAAGAAAAUAAGCUAAGGAAAUUUGAGAGAAUAUUGAUGAACAAGACUGAUUUCAUUCAUAAAAAAACAAUGGCUUGAAGCCAGUACAUAAAUCAAGCAUAAAGCUUGUCAAAAUCAACAAGUAAUUACCUACCUCCACUAAUUACAUAGAAACUUGAAAUUUUAGCUUGUAAACUUAUACAAAACUGUGUUUACAGCUCAUACAUAAGCUAAUUACAUCAAUCAAAAAGCUAACUUAGUUAGAAAUGAACUAACACUCAUUUCAUCAACUAAAUAUAACAAAAUGAACAAAAUGAGCUUGCAUCAACAGCCCUUGCAUCUGUUCCAGCUUUGCUUGGUCUUCAUGGCCUGCUUGGUAUCGAGUGUUGGCUUCAUGCUGACCAACUUCAACAGUUUCCUUGAUAAUAGCUUGUAGGUAUACCAAGUUAGCUAUGUCCGAUUCUUCCACUUGCCAUUGAUUUCCGACAUGGAUAUCG
rnacentral:lncRNA from 1 species